AAAGCCCGAUACCGGUACCUUGUGGAUGUGUUGUGUUUGUCCGUCUGCGUGUGUUCCAGCCUCAGAACCGUAGAAUCGUGAAAUCGGAACCUGCCUGUGUACUUUUCUGCGUGUGGUUUUCCUUGUGAGACUCCAUUCUGAUAAAUGCAGGGGACCGGUACUGGACAGACUAUCGAAAUGCCAUUCUGCAAAUAAGCUGCAUAUGGACCUGAAGAAACGCAAAACCUACACCGUGGUCAAGUUCACAAGAUACCGAAUCCAGUGAAGAGGAGGAUGCAGGUAGCCAGGAUACAGGUCCAGCCGAUGUAAUCCCUCCACCGAGGAAAGGCUGCGGUUUCCAUCACCACCUUGUGAUGUGAAACACCUGAACGGCAGUCCUCUACAAAGGCGCCGUGACACCACCGCCGCCUCCGAGCAGCGGGCCCGUCGCACGUUUGCCUCCAUCAAGCGGCAGGCCUGCGACGCCGUCGCCUCUUCCGAGCAGUGUUUGGUCCAGCCAUGACGCACCCUUCCAAGGACACUGUAAGCCCCACUGAUAUUACAAGUAUCUUCUUUCGUACUGUAGCCUAGAAACAGCCCUCUAGUAUGUUCAUUGCUAUAUCAUGAGCAUAUAUUUCAGGCUCUUCACCAGGCAACACCAACACUCAGACACUAGCUCAAAAUGGUGAAGUGUGCGUUACGCCUCGACGCUCAACCGCUCAGCGCACGUCGGAAGUCCUUCACGGCAGGGGGGAGGCGAGCCCCAACCCAAC